CACUGACAAUGGUAAACCACGGGUAAUCGUGGGGCACAAAGCCACCUGUCCACCAUAGUGGAAAGAGGGGCCGCAGAA
rnacentral:ncRNA from 1 species